AUUGAACGCUGGCGGCAGGCUUAACACAUGCAAGUCGAGCGCCCCGCAAGGGGAGCGGCAGACGGGUGAGUAACGCGUGGGAAUCUACCCAUCCCUACGGAAUAGCUCCGGGAAACUGGAGUUAAUACCGUAUACGCCCUACGGGGGAAAGAUUUAUCGGGGAUGGAUGAGCCCGCGUUGGAUUAGCUAGUUGGUGGGGUAAAGGCCUACCAAGGCGACGAUCCAUAGCUGGUCUGAGAGGAUGAUCAGCCACAUUGGGACUGAGACACGGCCCAAACUCCUACGGGAGGCAGCAGUGGGGAAUAUUGGACAAUGGGGGCAACCCUGAUCCAGCCAUGCCGCGUGAGUGAUGAAGGCCUUAGGGUUGUAAAGCUCUUUCACCGGGGAAGAUAAUGACGGUACCCGGAGAAGAAGCCCCGGCUAACUUCGUGCCAGCCGCCGCAGUAA
rnacentral:rRNA from 1 species